GACGAACGCUGGCGGCGUGCUUAACACAUGCAAGUCGAACGAUGACGACCGAGCUUGCUCGGUCUGAUUAGUGGCGAACGGGUGAGUAACACGUGAGCAACCUGCCCUUCACUCUGGGAUAACCUCGGGAAAUCGGGGCUAAUACCGGAUAUGAGCUCCUGUCGCAUGGCGGGGGUUGGAAAGUUUUUCGGUGGAGGAUGGGCUCGCGGCCUAUCAGUUUGUUGGUGAGGUAGUGGCUCACCAAGGCGAGGACGGGUAGCCGGCCUGAGAGGGCGACCGGCCACACUGGGACUGAGACACGGCCCAGACUCCUACGGGAGGCAGCAGUGGGGAAUAUUGCACAAUGGGCGCAAGCCUGAUGCAGCGACGCCGCGUGGGGGAUGACGGCCUUCGGGUUGUAAACCUCUUUCAGCAGGGAAGAAGCGAAAGUGACGGUACCUGCAGAAGAAGCGCCGGCUAACUACGUG
rnacentral:rRNA from 1 species